AACGCGAAGAACCUUACCUGGGCUCGAAAUGGAGUGGACCGGAGUAGAAAUAUUCCUUCCCCGCAAGGGGCUGCUCUAUAGGUGCUGCAUGGCUGUCGUCAGCUCGUGUCGUGAGAUGUUGGGUUAAGUCCCGCAACGAGCGCAACCCUUAUUACCAGUUGCCAUCAUUCAGUUGGGCACUCAGGUGAGACCGCCUCGGAUAACGGGGAGGAAGGCGGGGAUGACGUCAAGUCCUCAUGGCCUUUAUGUCCAGGGCUACACACGUGCUACAAUGGCCGGUACAAACCGUCGCAAACCCGUGAGGGGGAGCUAAUCGGAAAAAGCCGGCCUCAGUUCGGAUUGGAGUCUGCAACUCGACUCCAUGAAGCUGGAAUCGCUAGUAAUCGCGGAUCAGAACGCCGCGGUGAAUACGUUCCCGGGCCUUGUA
rnacentral:rRNA from 1 species